GAUGAACGCUAGCGGGAGGCUUAACACAUGCAAGUCGAGGGGCAACAGGAAUAGCAAUAUUUGCUGGCGACCGGCGCACGGGUGAGUAACGCGUAUGCAACCUGCCCAUAACAGGGGGAUAGCUUCCGGAAACGGAAAUUAAUACCCCAUAGGAUUUUGAUGCCGCAUGGUAAUAAAGAUUAAAACUACGGUGGUUAUGGAUGGGCAUGCGUGCCAUUAGCUAGUUGGCGGGGUAACAGCCCACCAAGGCUACGAUGGCUAGGGGGUCUAAAAGGAUGAUCCCCCACACUGGUACUGAGACACGGACCAGACUCCUACGGGAGGCAG
rnacentral:rRNA from 1 species